rnacentral:rRNA from 1 species
ACACAUGCAAGUCGAACGGCAGCACGGGUGCUUGCACCUGGUGGCGAGUGGCGAACGGGUGAGUAAUACAUCGGAACAUGUCCUGUAGUGGGGGAUAGCCCGGCGAAAGCCGGAUUAAUACCGCAUACGAUCUACGGAUGAAAGCGGGGGACCUUCGGGCCUCGCGCUAUAGGGUUGGCCGAUGGCUGAUUAGCUAGUUGGUGGGGUAAAGGCCUACCAAGGCGACGAUCAGUAGCUGGUCUGAGAGGACGACCAGCCACACUGGGACUGAGACACGGCCCAGACUCCUACGGGAGGCAGCAGUGGGGAAUUUUGGACAAUGGGCGAAAGCCUGAUCCAGCAAUGCCGCGUGUGUGAAGAAGGCCUUCGGGUUGUAAAGCACUUUUGUCCGGAAAGAAAUCCUUGGUUCUAAUAUAGCCGGGGGAUGACGGUACCGGAAGAAUAAGCACCGGCUAACUACGUGCCAGCAGCCGCGGUAAUACGUAGGGUGCGAGCGUUAAUCGGAAUUACUGGGCGUAAAGCGUGCGCAGGCGGUUUGCUAAGACCGAUGUGAAAUCCCCGGGCUCAACCUGGGAACUGCAUUGGUGACUGGCAGGCUAGAGUAUGGCAGAGGGGGGUAGAAUUCCACGUGUAGCAGUGAAAUGCGUAGAGAUGUGGAGGAAUACCGAUGGCGAAGGC